UAAGUAAGCGGAGGAAAAGAAACUAAAUAGGAUUCUCUUAGUAAUGGCGAAUGAACUGGGAUGAGCUCACCAUGGGAAUCGGGGUCCUCGACCUUGAAUUGUAGUCUCGAGAUGCAGCGCCAACAAAGGCGCAGGUGUAAGCCUCUUGGAAGAGAGCACCGCGGAGGGUGAGAGUCCCGUCUGUCACCUGCAGUCCCUUGUGUACGGCCUGCGUUCUAAGAGUCACGUUCCUCGGGAUUGGAGCGCAAAUCGGGUGGUAAGUUUCACCUUAAGCUAAAUAUUGGUCCGAGACCGAUAGCAAACAAGUACCAUGAGGGAAAGGUGAAAAGGACUUUGAAAAGAGAGUUAAAAGUGCUUGAAAUUGCUGAAAGGGAAGCGAAUGGAACCAGUUCCGCUGGGUGAGAUUGUCGCCUGCCAAGGCCUCGUGCCGGUCGCAUGUGAUGCUUCUUGCCUUGUGUGUCAGCUGCGGUCCGAGGUUGGGGAAAACUCCGGGGACAUGGAUGCCAACCUUCGGGGGGGUGAAUGUGCCUGGCAAGACCCGUCUUCGGACCGUGAGCAGUGCUUGGCAUGUUUGCGGUGUUGACGAAAUGCUUCUAUUCGACCCGUCUUGAAACACGGACCGAGGAGUCUAACAUGUGUGCGAGCUCACGGGUGUCAAACCUGCUUGCGCAAUGAAAGUGACGGCUGGGAUACUUGCACCAGCAACCGAUCUGUCAACCGAGAGAGAUUUGAGUUUGAGCAUACCUGUUAGGACCCGAAAGAUGGUGAACUAUGCUUGUGUAGGGCAAAGCCAGGGGAAACUCUGGUGGAGGCUCGUAGCGAUA
rnacentral:rRNA from 1 species